GAAAGGAAAGGAGGGUAAAAAGAAGAGUGAGAAAGGAAGGGAAAAAGGGAAGAACAGCAAGCAAAAAGAAAAGAAAAAGAAUUUCUACAAAACAACAGCAGGAACUGUGUCUUUAAGAAAAGUAACAGAUAUGAGAGCGCUGGGCUUCAUGGUCUGAUCCCUCCAUCUGUAUCCAGUGGUGUCCAGCUGGACCCAGGCUGGUUUUAUAUGAUGAGUGCAGAAGCCUACACAGAAUUUGUUGUCACCACUCCCAUCCCUUGAGCAUCGUACAGGACAUCCUCACUGCCGCUUUGGAACAGCACCUGCACCUUGGAUUGAAAACUACAGUCUGAAUACAGAAAUCAUGUCGUAGUAGGGGCAGCUGGAAGUGAAACAGAGGGAAGUUCUCUUAAUUUCCAUCUAAAGUGGUCUUUUGACAUCAUUGUAUCUCCUUAAUGGCAUGUGGUGGACAUGACGUAGAAAUGGCACCAUUGGAGUAUUACUUCUUUUAUUGGCACUGUGAUGCUACCUUUCCCUGUUUGAUAAGGUAAAGAGAAGAUCAGAGGCCAAUUGAUCUUGCCUCUGUGUGUUUAUUCUGUGUACCAUGAUGCCACCAAUACUUAUUUGAUAAGAAUUCCGUCACAUCGUUUUGAAGAGAUGUUACUGAUUUUACUAACUAAUUGGACCCACUCGUCAUGGAACCAGAGGAACGUUCAAGUCUUAAAUUUGUUCUUUAGUCCCAAACCAUAGCAUUUUUACCGUCUCCUAUAUCCCAUUUUUCAAAUAAAUUUUGCAGCCAAGGUGGGAGGGAUCUACUGUAAGCAGAAAAUUUUCUUGCUAAGCAAACAGUGAAUGUUACCAGUCUCUGGCGUAUUUCUGAGGCGCAUCUGUGUCUGUGAUCUGUCCCUGGGCUAUAUACAUUCUGAACCGAAACAUUUAUUUUGUGUCACAAUAAUGUGCUUAUGGACCAUGUGAAAACAGAACAAAUAUUAAAACCUUUGCAAGCCUUA